UUAGCUUUAUAUAUAUGUUAACAAUAUUUGAAAAAAUUUGCGACAGUAACUCAUUCAGUAGUCUCAUCCUCGACGCCACCGGAUAAACGUAUUUAAUACUUAACUAUGCAUCAAGCCAUAUAUGUUUCGUUACUUGCUGCCGUUUCUGUGUGCAUUUUUCAUGCAUUUGUAAACGCAGAGAGUUGUACACUCGCCUCAGAUUGCGGAUCCACAUCAUGCAAUACUGGGUACCAUGUGGUAUGCGAACACAAAGAGACCGGAGUUGUUCAAGGUGCCGGCCUAUGCACCUGCGCAGUGGACAACUUAAAUUGCACAAGUAAACAGGACUGCCUAAACCUGAAUCUGGAUAGCUACAGUUGUAUCAGUAACGACCACAAGCAUUGCUAUGACAACAAGUGCAUCUGCACCAGGUGGUGAACAAAUACCGCAAUAUAUUGUUGCAUGUUUAUCGCAACUAAUCUAAUAAAACAUUAACCCUC
rnacentral:lncRNA from 1 species